GACGAACGCUGGCGGCGUGCUUAACACAUGCAAGUCGAACGAAGUGGCGAACGGGUGAGUAACGCGUAAUCAACCUGCCCUUCAGAGGGGGACAAAAGGUGGAAACGACUGCUAAUACCGCAUAAUGAAGGAGGGGAUUGCGUCUGAUUAGCUAGUUGGAGGGGUAACGGCCCACCAAGGCGAGGAUCAGUAGCCGUGCUGAGAGGAUGAACGGCCACAUUGGGACUGAGACACGGCCCAGACUCCUACGGGAGUCAGCAGGGGGGAAUCUUCCGCAAUGGACGAAAGUCUGACGGAGCAACGCCGCGUGAGUGAUGACGGCCUUCGGGUUGUAAAGCUCUGUUAAUCGGGACGCGGUACCGGAAUAGAAAGCAACGGCUAACUACGUGCCAGCAGCCGCGGUAAUUC
rnacentral:rRNA from 1 species